rnacentral:rRNA from 1 species
AGAGCGGGAGCCCGGAGAUGGGCACUGAGACAAGGGCCCAGGCCCUACGGGGCGCAGCAGUCGCGAAAACUCCGCAAUGCGCGAAAGCGUGACGGGGCUACCCCGAGUGCCGUCCGCUGAGGAUGGCUUUUCCCCGGUGUAAUGAGCCGGGGGAAUAAGGAGAGGGCAAGUCUGGUGUCAGCCGCCGCGGUAAUACCAGCUCUCCGAGUAGUAGGGACGAUUAUUGGGCUUAAAGCGUCCGUAGCCGGCUUAGCAAGUCUCCUGUUAAAUUCAGCGACCUAAUCGUUGAGCCGCGGGAGAUACUACUAGGCUAGGAGGCGGGAGAGGCCGACGGUAUUCCCGGGGUAGGGGUGAAAUCCUAUAAUCCCGGGAGGACCACCAGUGGCGAAGGCUGUCGGCU